rnacentral:rRNA from 1 species
GAUGAACGCUGGCGGUAUGCUUAACACAUGCAAGUCGAACGGACUCUUCGGAGUUAGUGGCGGACGGGUGAGUAACGCGUGAGAAUCUGGCUUUGGGUUCGGGACAACCACUGGAAACGGUGGCUAAUACCGGAUGUGCCGAGAGGUAAAAGAGAAAUUGCCUGAAGAUGAGCUCGCGUCUGAUUAGCUAGUUGGUGAGGUAAAGGCUCACCAAGGCAGCGAUCAGUAGCUGGUCUGAGAGGAUGACCAGCCACACUGGGACUGAGACACGGCCCAGACUCCUACGGGAGGCAGAAGUGGGGAAUUUUCCGCAAUGGGCGAAAGCCUGACGGAGCAAUACCGCGUGAGGGAAGAAGGCUCUUGGGUUGUAAACCUCUUUUCUUAGGGAAGAACAAAAUGACGGUACCUAAGGAAUCAGCAUCGGCUAACUCCGUG